rnacentral:rRNA from 1 species
GGGCCUUGUACACACCGCCCGUCACACCAUGGGAGUGGGUUGCAAAAGAAGUAGGUAGCUUAACCUUCGGGAGGGCGCUUACCACUUUGUGAUUCAUGACUGGGGUGAAGUCGUAACAAGGUAACCGUAGGGGAACCUGCGGUUGGAUCACCUCCUUACCUUAAAGAA